rnacentral:rRNA from 1 species
AGAGUUUGAUCCUGGCUCAGGACGAACGCUGGCGGCGUGCUUAACACAUGCAAGUCGAACGGACGAGUGAGAUAAGUUUACUUAACUCACAAGUUAGUGGCGGACGGGUGAGUAACACGUGGAUAAUCUACCUGCAACACCGGGAUAACGCUGUGAAAACGGUGCUAAUACCGGAUACGUUCCCUUGUGCGUAUGUAUGAGGGAAGAAAGUUUAGGCGGUUGCAGAUGAGUCCGCGGCUGAUUAGCUGGUUGGUGAGGUAAAGGCUCACCAAGGCGAUGAUCAGUAGCCGGCCUGAGAGGGUGAACGGCCACACUGGGACUGAGACACGGCCCAGACUCCUACGGGAGGCAGCAGUGGGGAAUCUUCCGCAAUGGGCGCAAGCCUGACGGAGCAACGCCGCGUGGGUGAAGAAGGCCUUCGGGUUGUAAAGCCCUGUCUUAUGGGAAGAAGUCAGUGACGG